GGAUUUUUCUUGGCCACUUUGCCAACUGGGGACUUCCAUGGCCAGUGACCCCCUCCCUGCCCAGACGUCGCUUAGCCCGGCCUGCCUCUGGAGGCGCCCUGCCCACUUGGCCCACCAGUGUUAUAGCUUGUACCCAAGUUUGGUGAUUCCUAAGCUCUUGUGUCAUGUCCAAGCAGAAAGAGGAUAUGCUGCUGACAAUUGAAGGUGGAGAAAAAUAAUUCAGGUGACUGAGAAGAAAGCCAUUAAUCAAAAUUUACGGAGGAUAUAAACAAUGAUUUUUACCAAUCACUGAAUGAGGAUAUGCCGACAAUUGAAGGGUGAGGAUGGGUGGAUAAGAAUUUUAUUGAGUGAUGGAACAGCUCUCAGUGGAGAGAUAUACAUUUUAGAGCUGGACUGCUCAAUGUGGUACCCAGGCUAGCAGCCACAAUAGCAGCACCUGAGAGA
rnacentral:lncRNA from 10 species